ACUUUUCUAGUAAAAUAAUAUUAUAUUAUCUUGAUAAGGUAAAGUUCCAAUAAUGGGAGAAGUA
rnacentral:tRNA from 1 species